rnacentral:tRNA from 1 species
GGCGGCAUAGCCAAGUCUGGAAAGGCAGAGGACUGCAAAUCCUUCAUCCCCCGGUUCAAAUCCGGGUGCCGCCUCCA